rnacentral:lncRNA from 1 species
ACACUAUUAUUUACGAGUUUGAGUGUUGGUGCGACGUUGUUUUAUGUUGUCUUCUUGUGACAAUGUUUGUUUGGCUCAUAUUGUAAAAUUAAAUUUGAUCUAUUCCCUUAAUGACUUUGACGUCGCUAACAUUAAAGAUUCUGAUGCGUGAAUAUUUCAAACACUUUAAUUGUCAUAUUUGUAGCCUGUCACAUUCGUAAACUUGUCGCUGUUAUAUUCUAUUAACUUG